GACAGACAUUUCUUCUGUCCUGAGUGUGUAGUUGGAUAGAUUGAUGAUAUUGCUGGAUGGGUUAGAGGUACCACGGUUGUGGCCCCAUGUGGCAGGUAGGAGUUUAGACAGCUUACAGUCCUUUUUCCUUUGUAGAGAGGUGAAGUGAGUAAUGUAGAUCUCCUGUAUGGAGCUACAUACAGCUUCUUCCAAGAUCUUGGUAGCAAAUGGCAUUGUAAAUGUCCUAUUUGAAAAAGGUUAUUCUGUAGCAGAGAUCACUUUUCUUUUUAACAAUACAGUGACUACACUAUUUCUUUACUAAGCCAGGUGCCUUUUGAUAAGACAAUUUAUGCAAUAAAUUAAAGGUGUAAAAUAGCAAUAUAAGGUUCCCUACACUGUUCCUCUCCUCCUCCACCAAGCAUUUAAUAGGCAUUAGACAUUUAUGAGAACGAUACAUUCAGUAUGUAUCCUACAGCUGCCAGGACUAGGUUUGUUUCUUUUUUUAAAUUUAUUUCCAUCUUCUCUCUAAUGCUCCCCUGGUUCUAUCAAACCCCUGCUGUCUAGACCCCCUACCCUUCCAGCUGCUCUCUUUCUCUCUAACAGCUGCUACUCUGUCAUUCUGCCAUGCACUGAAUGAUCUCAGGCAAAUAGGGGCUCACUCAGAAAGACACCUAAUAUGCCAGACAUUUGGCUAACAAAAGCCCUUAGAAUCAAUUGAGUAAUUAGUUGACAACGAAAAGUACUGUUAACUGCCAAGGCCCCUAAUAAUGAGUGGCAGCUGCCAUCUUGAGGUGCUCUCAAAAGUCACAGGUAGCCAUCCAGCUAUCUUCUUUCAUAACAGUGAAGUGAAUCAUCUUCACUGAACGAUUCUAAAGGUAAACCAAAUAUUUUAAAAAUAAAUUAAUACAAAACUGAGUGAGAUCCCAAAUUAUUAUGGGCCUGAUCCUAGCCCUUCUUCCAAAGAUGCACAGGGACUUAGACUUAAUAAAACCAGUAGGGUGCAGUUGCAAGGGGGGCAGGAACGUCUAGUUUUCUACCCUCUCCAGCAUCCCCAUACUUAUGGGCUUGGAGGUGGAAUGAUAGGCUACCAGUUGUUGUCCCUGGCAAAGCUGGGGAGCGAGAGAUACUACAGUGGCACUUGAAACACUGUGCUGAUAAGCACAGUAUAAGUCCCUGGGGAGAUAAAUUGGACAGGAAUAGCCUCAAGGCUACAGUAGCAUUUCCUGAACAGAUCCACUGCCUUUCCACAGCUCGGGAGGAUUCUUCCCCUAUCUUCUCUCCUACAGCCACUGUGCCAGGCAUGCUUGUUUAUUCUGGCUUUGCACAGCAGAAAGGAUUUGGGCCUAACUGAAUUAGGGUUGCCAACCCUCCAGGAUUGUCCUGGAGUCUCCAGGAA